CAGGGGCACUAUGGUCAAGGAGGGGCCAGCCUCCACGCAUUCUGGCACAGUUGCCUCUUGGGCUACACAAAACAGAAACCUGGCUGGGCUUCCUUUCCCAGAUUCUCCGCCCUCAGGAGCACCUGGAUGAGCUCAAGGGAGGUGCUCUCCCUUGUGAAACCUGGGACAUUACACCCAAUUCCUGGCCACCCUCUGCUAUCCCAGGUUGAGUGUCCAGUACUGAGAUAGAUGCUGUCUCUGCUCUCCAGAUGCUUAGCAACCUUCCCAGGCCAGGUACCAUGAUCAGGGAAGACAUGAAGGAUCAGAACAAGCUUCCUAAAGGACACAGCAUGGUGGCUAAGACCUGAAAAACCUACUUUCCUUCUGGGAGCCUGGAAUUUUGGGAAGUGCUAGACAGAAGUUGCCUCUAUGACCUGCCCCAAUAAAUACCAUG